rnacentral:rRNA from 1 species
GGUGAUGUUUUGUAGACGUUUGGGGAUGAUCCGGACCCAACGGUGAUGACUCCCCGGGUCGGGUUCGGGACAAUUUUAGGACAAGCGCGCAAGGAGGGCCGCGGGCUGACGAGAGAGGUCAGGUUGAACCUGGCGGUAGGUAGUGAGCUGUGUAGACGGUCUCGAGCUGAGAGAAGAGAAGAGAGGGAGGCCCGGUGACUGUUUCCGGAGACUGAAAACGUCCGAUGUUAGACCGGCUAUACUGCCGCUAUAGUUUAACGGUUGGGCUAUCAAACGAACUCCGAAUGCGAUGAAACUUGACAGGCGGUCUAUCUACACUAUAAUAAGACCGCACGCCAACUUUCAACCCAAUCCGAGAACAUUUUCCGGCCACAUAUAGAAUAAUAUUUCGGAGGUGCCGCGGGCGCGUGCAAGUGUUGUUGGGCUUAGAACGGACAACGGACGGAACGAGGAGGCCGGGACAGAUGCAAGUUUUUAAACAUGAUGAUGCAAUGCACAUGAUGACAUGAUAAGAUGCAACACGCAAGCAAAUGACAUGGCAACAAUAGCAAAAAACUAGAAGACACCUGGCACAUCGGUCUCGGGGCGUCACAUUCACCGAAGCAACGAGACCUUGAAAGCAGCUUUUUCAAGUGUCAGUAGCGGGACGUUCUGUCAAUCGGGGAAGGUUUUUGUGACAAGACCUAGAGAUAUCAGAAGUGAGAUUGCUAACAUGAGUAACGAGAAAUCCUGUGAAAAACACGAUCGCCUACCAAUGGAAGGCUUUCUGCGUUCAGUCAAUCUACGCAGAGUGAGUCGGUCCCUAAGGAACCGCCGAAAGGACUGCCGUCCGAUGGGUACACGAAAGUGACGAAGUUGCUUUGACUACUGAACCAUGCCUGGAUCAUCGGAGCGAGUUGGACGAUCGGACCGAGGGCUGCCCCCUCUUCCCCUCUCUCUCCUUUCCUUAAUAUUCACCGUCGAGUCAGCAAAGCCGUCAACUAAUUCAGAGGGGCUCGGAUGGCCCGGUCACCCUACGCUACUGGUGCUUCCAAAGGCGAAGCUCUCGUCUUUGGCGACCAACAAAUGGAUGGCUAAAACCUGUAGUUUUGAAGCAAGGGAUGAGAGGGAAAUCCGUUGCGCUUCCGUACACGCGCAUAUGUUUUCUUGCUGGGGCAGACACGGAUUUCUCUCUAAAGGCAAAGAAAAAGAAGUGGGCGAACACUCGGCCCAGCGGGCGAACAUGCCGGCUUGGGCUCCGCGCACCUGCUGACACCUUUCGAAGCUCUUUCACGUGUGAACCGAAGUCGUCUUGCCGAACUCCUUCCUUUCUCAUUUCAGUCCUCGCAUUUUUCAUCUUCCGUAGGGGCCUUUAGUAUUUUGAUUAGAGUGGAGGUCGCGAGAGAGUAGAGCGUACAGCCCUGCCAUAGUUGCGAGGAUCUUAAUAGUCGGUCGCCACUGUUUUUAUAGUCAACGAUAGUUGGAACUUUCAAGAAAAACUUCAAAUUGGGAGGGCGAUCCUCCCAGUGAACUGACCAUACCCCAAACCGAUACAGGUGAACAAGUAGAGUAUACUAGGUCACGUCGACAGAACCAUGUUGAAGGAACUCAGCAAAAUGACCCCGUAACUUCGGGAGAAGGGGUGCUCUCCUAUCUUUUGAUUAGGAAAGCGGCACAUACUAGGGGGUAGCAACUUUUUAUUAAAAACAGAGGACUCUGCUAAGUGGUAACAUGAUGUAUAGAGUCUGACACCUGCCCGGUGCUAGAAGGUCAGAAGGAGAAGUGUGAUAAGCUUUGAAUGGAGCCUCGGUAAACGGCGGCAGUAACUCUAACUGUCCUAAGGUAGCGAAACUCCUUGUCGCAUAAGUAGCACCCUGCACGAAUGGUGUAACGACUGCCCUACUAUCUCUGACAUGGACCCGGUGAAAUUGAAUUCUUCGUGAAGAUGCGGAGUACCAACGGCUAGACGGUAAGACCCUGUGCACCUUGACUAUAGCUUCGCAAUGACAACCUUGAUCGAAUGUGUAGGAUAGGUGGGAGGUGGUGACACACAAUGACCAAUCCUGAAAGACCACUCUUUCAUCUAAGGAUGCCUAACCGCCGCACCGAUCAUUCGGGGGGGACACUGCGAGGUGGGUAGUUUAUCUGGGGCGGAUGCCUCCUAAAGAGUAACAGAUGUGUGCGAAGGUAGUCUCAAGCAUUGAUUCUUCUCGUGAGCAUAAUGGUAUAAGCCUGACUGACUGUGAGACCGACUGGUUGAACAGAGACGAAAGUCGGCCAAAGUGAUCCGGGAGUCCCGUGUGGAAGGGCUCUCGCUCAAAGGAUCAAAGGUACGCCGGGGAUAACAGGCUAAUGAAUCCCAAGAGCUCUUAUCGACGGAGUUGUUUGGCACCUCGAUGUCGACUCAUCACAUCCUAGGGUUGAAGAAGGUCCCAAGGGUUCAGUUGUUCACCGAUGAAAGUGGUACGUGAGUUGGGUUUAGAACGUCGUGAGACAGUUUGGUUCCUAUCUACCGUUGGUGUUAAAGGGAGAACUGCGAGGAGCCAGCCCUAGUACGAUAGGACUGGGCUAGGUCAACCUAUGGUGUACCGGCUAUUAUGCCAAUAGUAGCGCCGGGCAGCUAAGUUGGUACGGAAGAACUGUUGUGCCACAGGAAAUCCUUCUCUAUACAAGUUCUUGUACGAGGUUUUUGAAAAGAACUUCGAUAGGCGAGAGGUGUAAGCACCGUGAAGUAUGAAUCGAUCUCGUACUAAAUGAAUGGAAAUUGACAAC